UACGGGGGGGGCAAGCGUUGUUCGGAAUUACUGGGCGUAAAGGGCUCGUAGGUGGCCAACUAAGUCAGACGUGAAAUCCCUCGGCUUAACCGGGGAACUGCGUCUGAUACUGGUUGGCUUGAAUCCGGGAGAGGGAUGUGGAAUUCCAGGUGUAGCGGUGAAAUGCGUAGAUAUCUGGAGGAACACCGGUGGCGAAGGCGGCAUCCUGGACCGGUAUUGACGCUGAGGAGCGAAAGCCAGGGGAGCAAACGGG
rnacentral:rRNA from 1 species